CCUUGGCCGGUGUGCAAACUUUUCCUAUUCCUCUAUUAUUUCCCAGGGAGACAGUUGCAAACCGAGGAGGGAAUCUCCCUGGCCAAGUGUGAAAUAAGGUACGGCUGAUAGAGAAGCGUGCAAGGGGCGAUUAAGGACCUUGUGGAGCUGUCUCUUGGUCUGGUGGUUUAAGCUCAUCUUCAGAUGACAAGUGCUUUCGUGAGGCACAUGACAAGUGGCUUUCCCCGACAAAAGGCAAUGCGCAUGCAGUUUUUCAGACUACUGAAAAUUCUCAAGAGACAACUAUUAUUGCUAUUUUAUAGCAUGGUUAUGUAAAUGUUUAAUAAACAUAGAGACUGAAA